GUGCAGAAGAGUAAACUGCUCCUUUUCCCAUACCCAUUGCAUAUCGGAGUUGUGAAUUCUUAAAAUAUCUCCUGUAUGCAUGGAUUAUAGGAGGAUGAGCUUUGUCAUCAUGAACCUUC
rnacentral:pre_miRNA from 13 species